UAGAGUUUGAUCCUGGCUCAGAACGAACGCUGGCGGCAGGCUUAACACAUGCAAGUCGAACGCCCCGCAAGGGGAGUGGCAGACGGGUGAGUAACACGUGGGAACGUCCCCCUCGGUUCGGAAUAACUCAGGGAAACUUGAGCUAAUACCGGAUACGUCCGAGAGGAGAAAGAUUUAUCGCCGAGGGAUCGGCCCGCGUCUGAUUAGCUAGUUGGUGAGGUAACGGCCCACCAAGGCGACGAUCAGUAGCUGGUCUGAGAGGAUGACCAGCCACACUGGGACUGAGACACGGCCCAGACUCCUACGGGAGGCAGCAGUGGGGAAUCUUGGACAAUGGGCGAAAGCCUGAUCCAGCCAUGCCGCGUGAGUGAUGAAGGCCUUAGGGUUGUAAAGCUCUUUUACCCGGGAUGAUAAUGACAGUACCGGGAGAAUAAGCUCCGGCUAACUCCGUGCCAGCAGCCGCGGUAGCCCAAUCGC
rnacentral:rRNA from 1 species